rnacentral:rRNA from 1 species
GACGAACGCUGGCGGCGUGCUUAACACAUGCAAGUCGAACGGAAAGGCCCUGCUUUUGUGGGGUGCUCGAGUGGCGAACGGGUGAGUAACACGUGAGUAACCUGCCCUUGACUUUGGGAUAACUUCAGGAAACUGGGGCUAAUACCGGAUAGGAGCUCCUGCUGCAUGGUGGGCGUUGGAAAGUUUCGGCGGUUGGGGAUGGACUGGCGGCUUAUCAGCUUGUUGGUGGGGUAGUGGCUUACCAAGGCUUGGACGGGUAGCCGGCCUGAGAGGGUGACCGGCCACAUUGGGACUGAGAUACGGCGCAGACUCCUACGGGAGGCAGCAGUGGGGAAUAUUGCACAAUGGGCGGAAGCCUGAUGCAGCAACGCCGGGUGCGGGAUGACGGCCUGCGGGUUGUAAACCGCUUUCGCCUGUGACGAAGCGUGAGUGACGGUAAUGGGUAAAGAAGCACCGGCUAACUACGUG